rnacentral:lncRNA from 1 species
CAAAUAUAUGCAGUUAGGCAUCUGAAGGCCUUACUCAAUACUCACUGUUAAUAGAAUGAGAUGGUCCCUUCCUCUAAAGACUAGCUGUUAAAUAUGGAUGUGUAGCUUAAUAAUCAUUGAAAAGGUCUAAUCCAGCUUUGAGUUGGUGAUAAUUGAACUUGUUCUGAUUUUUAGUAGCUAUAACGUUUACACAAAAACUUUUUGUAUAAACGUUAUAGCUAAGGGAAAAUUGAGUGUGCAAGGUCCAACUCGUUUUUGAAGUUCAGUAUAUGACUCUUUCUUCAUAAACAUCUCACUGACUCUCCAAGGACUUGCUUGUAACUUCUCCCACAUUUGAACCUUGUAUAUUGUCGUAUUUCUACUUGGCAUCAAAUAAAUAAUUAUAGACUUAACUCUACGCUUACACCCAAACUGGAUGGAAGCAAAUACCUUCUGGCUAUAACUGAUGAGUGGUAUUUACAUAAAGUGAAUAUCUCAGGUGAAAACUUUUAUGUCUGCACUCGAAUUUUUUAGCUUACAUGAUCAUAAUUAUGAUCAUGAUAGUUUUUUGUUUUUGCGUUUGUGUUUGUGGUUACAAGAUUUUAGUAGUUGAAUUUUAAUGGAGUAUUUUCAACAUAAGUUUCAUCAUUAGGAAACAAAAUUGUGAUGAUUUCACUUAUCCUUAAAGGAUCCCCUCUCAUGUUCCUCCUUUUCACAUCUCCUGAGUUCUUUAUCCACUUCUCCCAAGGUAGGUGCCACCUUAGUACUUACUUCAUGCUCCUUCCUGCAUUAUCUGUCAUGUUUUGUAGUUUGUCUCCAGGCUCCAUCAUAAUACCUGGAACACAGAGUUGAUUAAAUAUCUGAUGGAAGGAAUGAAAGAAUUCAGUGGAUGUUCAUGAAAAGUAUCUAUUAGUAUAAAUUGAAUACAAGGAAUGACAAGCAGAAAUGUAUGUAGUUUGUGUGUAACUCUUGUCAAGCCACCAUUUAAUGUUUUUAUAUGACUUUUCUGCAAUAAAGAAAACCCCUAAAGUUGUAUAGAUUGAAAAUUAGUGACAUUUCACUAACAUUCAUUUGGUUGAUCAAUUGACAUUGAGCACCCAGUACUAUGUGCAAAGUACCAGGAAGAAUACAAAGUUAGAAGUUUAAGCAAGGAUCAGAACAGAUCACACAGCUGGCAAGUGCCUGAGUUGAGAUUUGAACCCAGGCAGUAUGGUUCUAAUUUCACAAUUGUUAACUGCUAUGAACAUGCCUCCCCAGGAAUAUAGUAUAAUAUAGUUUAUAGCUGG